GACAGCGGCCGCUGAUAAUGUAAACACAGCUGAUUCACUGGCGACACGGAGCUGGCGGUAUUAGGACGGAGUUUCCCUCGGUAUUGGCAAGCUUUUGCUGAGAAUACUGCCAGCUGACGUCACCAUAAACAGGUGUCCAGUGGUGCGGUUCAUCGCCAGAGAAGACAAUGUCUGGGUCAGUAUUAGACGGGAUUGGAAGCUUGGAAGAAAUGCUGUUCCGAGCUGCUGGAGAGAUGCCAGAUAAUGGCCAGGCAUCAGAGGGCUGCGAAGGGAAGGGGGACCAUGAAGCAGCAGCAUUAGUACUGCAGGAGCGGAGUCAACCCAUUCAAAUUUAUGCAAUUGAUAUGGACAUCAGCGAGACGAUGGGAACCCUUAAGUCACGAGCGGCUGAAGCUUUACAUCUUGACCUACAGAGUUUUGUUGUGUCUGUUUUAUCCGAAAGAGAGGUACGUGCAGUGUGUAUUGUGCAUUUUU